rnacentral:rRNA from 1 species
GRUUGAACGCUGGCGGCAGGCCUAACACAUGCAAGUCGAGCGGAUGAGAGGAGCUUGCUCCUCGAUUCAGCGGCGGACGGGUGAGUAAUGCCUAGGAAUCUGCCUAGUAGUGGGGGACAACGUUUCGAAAGGAACGCUAAUACCGCAUACGUCCUACGGGAGAAAGUGGGGGAUCUUCGGACCUCACGCUAUUAGAUGAGCCUAGGUCGGAUUAGCUAGUUGGUAGGGUAAAGGCCUACCAAGGCGACGAUCCGUAACUGGUCUGAGAGGAUGAUCAGUCACACUGGAACUGAGACACGGUCCAGACUCCUACGGGAGGCAGCAGUGGGGAAUAUUGGACAAUGGGCGAAAGCCUGAUCCAGCCAUGCCGCGUGUGUGAAGAAGGCCUUCGGGUCGUAAAGCACUUUAAGUUGGGAGGAAGGGCUUACAGCGAAUACCUGUGAGUUUUGACGUUACCGACAGAAUAAGCACCGGCUAACUUC